rnacentral:piRNA from 1 species
AGUGUGCAGUGGAAUGUGGCGGAAG